GACGAACGCUGGCGGCGUGCCUAAUACAUGCAAGUUGAGCGCUGAAGGUUGGUACUUGUACCAACUGGAUGAGCAGCGAACGGGUGAGUAACGCGUGGGGAAUCUGCCUUUGAGCGGGGGACAACAUUUGGAAACGAAUGCUAAUACCGCAUAAAAACUUUAAACACAAGUUUUAAGUUUGAAAGAUGCAAUUGCAUCACUCAAAGAUGAUCCCGCGUUGUAUUAGCUAGUUGGUGAGGUAAAGGCUCACCAAGGCGAUGACACAUAGCCGACCUGAGAGGGUGAUCGGCCACAUUGGGACUGAGACACGGCCCAAAAUCCUACGGGAGGCAGCAGUAGGGAAACUUCGGCAAUGGACGAAAGUCUGACCGAGCAACGCCGCGUGAGUGAAGAAGGUUGUCGGAUCGUAAAACUCUGUUGGUAGAGAAGAACGUUGGUGAGAGUGGAAAGCUCAUCAAGUGACGGUAACUACCCAGAAAGGGACGGCUAACUACGUG
rnacentral:rRNA from 1 species